CUGGUUGAUCCUGCCAGACCCGACUGCUAUCGGAUUGGGACUAAGCCAUGCGAGUCAACUCCGCAAGGGGUGGCGCACGGCUCAGUAACACGUAGUCAACCUACCCUGGGGACGGGGAUAACCUCGGGAAACUGAGGCUAAACCCCGAUGGGCCAUGGCUCCUGGAAUGGGCUAUGGCUGAAAUCUACAUGGCCCCAGGAUGGGACUGCGGCCGAUCAGGUUGUUGGUGGGGUAAUGGCCCACCAAGCCUAUAACCGGUGCGGGCUCUGAGAGGAGGAGCCCGGAGAUGGGCACUGAGACAAGGGCCCAGGUCCUAUGGGGCGCAGCAGGCGCGAAACCUCCGCAAUGGGCGAAAGCCCGACGGGGUCAGUCCGAGUGGUUCCCGCUGAGGGAACCUUUUGCCAGCUGUAAACAGGCUGGCGAAUAAGGGGUGGGCAAGUUUGGUGUCAGCCGCCGCGGUAAUACCAGCACCCCGAGUGGUCGGGACGAUUAUUGGGCCUAAAGCAUCCGUAGCCGGCCCAGUAAGUCCUCCGUUAAAUCCAACGGCUCAACCGUUGGGCUGCGGGGGAUACUGCUGGGCUAGGGGACGGGAGAGGCGAGGGGUAUUCCCGGGGUAGGGGUAAAAUCCACUGAUCCCGGGAGGACCACCAGUGGCGAAGGCGCCUCGCUAGAACGUGCCCGACGGUGAGGGAUGAAAGCUGGGGGAGCGAACCGGAUUAGAUACCCGGGUAGUCCCAGCCGUAAACGAUGUAGGCUCGGUGUUGGGCUGCCUCAGUGGCAGCCCAGUGCCGCAGGGAAGCCGUUAAGCCUACCGCCUGGGGAGUACGGCCGCAAGGCUGAAACGUAAAGGAAUUGGCGGGGGAGCACCAC
rnacentral:rRNA from 1 species